rnacentral:SRP_RNA from 1 species
CUGCUCAGGAGCGGAAAGCAGCAGCGUUAGAGGUC